rnacentral:rRNA from 1 species
UACGAAGGGGGCUAGCGUUGUUCGGAUUUACUGGACGUAAAGCGCACGUAGGCGGAUCGAUCAGUCAGGGGUGAAAUCCCAGGGCUCAACCCUGGAACUGCCUUUGAUACUGUCGAUCUGGAGUAUGGAAGAGGUGAGUGGAAUUCCGAGUGUAGAGGUGAAAUUCGUAGAUAUUCGGAGGAACACCAGUGGCGAAGGCGGCUCACUGGUCCAUUACUGACGCUGAGGUGCGAAAGCGUGGGGAGCAAACAGG